CUGCCCUCGAGGCCACCUGCCGCAGGGAUUGGAGACUCCUCGGAAAAUUUCCGGGUCACCAAUCCUGCGGUCUGGCCUCAAAAGCAACUGAAUGAGUGAAAAGCCUAGGAAAGGGUAUGGGUUCUCAAGUCCUGCGGUGUGGCCUCAAGGGCACUCGCCACAGGGCUUGGAGACACCUCGCAAAAGCUCCGCGUCACCAAGUCCCGCGAUCUGGCCUCGAGGGCGCUUGCACCGCAGAAAAGCCUCCAAAACGCUCCGGGUCAACAAGGAAAGAGUUGGCUGCACGGGGGCUCCGCACAGCACCGCUCUGUUCCGUCCGUCCCGUCGCACGCUCCGAGGAGCACUGAGGCGUGGCCACGUCACCACCGGUACUAUGUCAUGACGUGUCACAAAGGGCCCUGUGACACCCUGCCCCGUCGCACACCAUCGGCGAUGCCCACCGUGUCACAAAGGCCCUGUGACACACUGCCACCUGCCCUGGGGCCUCCCCCUGCCCGGCCAACCUGCCCCAGGGGACCGUUGGGAGUGGUAGCCGGAGCAAUUGGUGGCAGCGCUCGGCAUCUGUCAGAAGGCAGAAGCAGUUUCUCCUUGCGGGAAUGAUUUUUGCAUGGAAGUGAUGACCUGCAGCACAAAAUCAAUCUUAAGUUGCUGAGUUUCGCAGGAAGAUCAGAUUGCUCAGAGAUCCUGUCCAGUUUCCUUGUGUUAGUUGGACUUUUCUUCUGGCAUUCUGCAAAAUAAAUCUGCCCGGUCUGAUGUUCAAA